rnacentral:misc_RNA from 1 species
GGGCACGACAGUCUUCUGACA